GCUGGCAGCACACCGUCUGCUCUUUCACCUGCUCUCGUAACUGUGCCUGCUCCUCCUGGGCACUGGCUCCAGUGGACUUGAAAAAUGCCACCUGAGGGCAAGAUCUGGACUUGUUUAAGCAACUCCUUCAACUGCAAGAAUGGGCACAGAAGUUAGGAAGGGCUGUCACUGGUCCUCACCUGCUCCUGGCCACCUGGGGUCAUCUUCCUUCCACAUACCGCCCUCUGCAAAACCUCACCCGUGUCAGGUGUGCUUUCAGCCGUGCCUUCUCCUGUAUGGACUGCUCUAACUGCCACUCAUGCAAGUACCCAAUACCGCACCUAGGACUUGGCCAAGACCACCAUCAGGUAAGGACAGGGCAGGCACUUGACCUACAAGCUCUGCGUCCAGUGCUUUAUAAAAAAUAAAUAUAUAUUUAAAAAAUAUAUGUCUCCUGUCCUGGGGACAGGGGGCCCAAGGGGCAGUAGAGGGUAAUUGUUAAAAUUGUGGAUGGACUGUUGGGUACUGGUUAAGAAUUCUGGGUUUAAAAAAUAUGUAUUUAAAUAUAUAUAUUUAAAACUUUAAAAAAUAUAUAUAUAUCCGUGUAUGUCUGUGUAUGUGUAUCUAUGUGUUCUUCCAGAGCUUUCUUCAUUACUCAGCUUCUAUGCAAGGUCUAUGAUUUUGGCCUGUAUUUUUCAUCUUCAAAUACAGUGCAAAAAUUACCCGUAAUACCUUAACUGAGAUACAGAUCCUAUAAAAAUGGAAAAUCUGUAGCAUGCUUGAUGAUUAAUGAAGUAGACUAUAUUAUCCAACAUUCCAAUAAGAUAAAAUAAUCACACUGAUUUCUCUUUUUUGGAAAAACAUUUCUCUUAUUUUCCUACAUUAUUGUUAAGAUAUUUUUUCUUAAACAAGAAACAUGUCUAAUAUCUGUAAAAACACAAAACUUUUGGGCCAGAUGCAGUGGCUCACACCUGUAAUCCCAGCACUUUGGGAGCCCAAGGUGGGUGGAUCACCUGAGGUCAGGAGUUUGAGACCAGCCUGGCCAACAUGGUGAAACCCAGUCUCUACUAAAAACACAAAAACUAGCCAGGUGUGGUGGUGGGUGCCUGUAAUCCCAGCUAUUCAGGAGGCUGAGGCAGGAGAAUCACUUGAACCUGGGAGAUGGAGGUUGCAGUGAGCCAAGCUCAUGCCAUUGCGCUCCAGCCUGGGUGACAGAGUGAGACUCCAUCUCAAAAUAAAUAAGAUACAAAAUAAAUUUUAAAAGCUUUCAUUUUAAUAAGCACUCAAAACUCUUUAACAAUUUAAAACAAAUAGAAGGCUUAUUUUUCUAGGAUCACCUGGCUUCUCUAAGCCUUGCAAAUGAAACUGAAUUUCUCACUUGAUACUUGGCUAUGACUUGCAAUCAUGAAAACCAAGAAUUGUGUUAUGUCACUGUGUACUGCUUGUUACCUGAAUUUCACACAAGGCUGGGAGUUUUUGUAACCUCAAUGACAAAUAAAAGGUUUGUAUCCUUAGCCUAUAAAGAAAUCUUUUAAAUUACUCAGAAAAAAACCAAAUGAUUUUCAACAGAAAAUGGGAUAUGAAGAAACAGGCAUUU
ensembl:lncRNA